AUAUAAUCAUACUUAAAUUUUUUUUUUUGAUUUUUUAACUGAGUUAGUGCCUGAUUCGCAAAGAGUUGAGUUAAAUAGUCUGAUUCUAUUGAUGGAAGGUCUUUGACAGUCCCAAAUCAACACGUUUUCCUUGUCUUGUCCGCUUCAACUUCCGUUCCACAGAGUGAAUUUCUAGAGAUUAUGCUUUGUUCAUAGAUUCGGGGAUGACGCACUAUAUGACGCAGCAACAACAACGAUGGAAUGGAAUUUUACUAUCCUUUUUCUUGAUCUCUUCUGGAAAGUUAUUAUAGAGCAGUGGACGACAACACCUUAUGCCCUGUAAGGUUUUACCAUUAUUCUUUCAGCACAUGUGGAUCAUCCCAAAACCAGUUGGAGAUCUUACAUGUCCUCCAAAAGUAUGGUCAAAUUGAAGUGUACAAGUGAAAAGAUUAUCUAUUUUCUCAGCUCCAGAGUUUAUAUGCAUCACGUUUCAGCUCAACUGGUUCCUAUAGCUUUCCAGGUCUCUGUGUGUCGAAGGUAGAUGGAAUUUGGGUGGUGGUUCACUCGCUGCUGGGUUAUUUAAGAGGCUUCUUCGUGAAUCUAUAGAGAAUGGAGAUAUUGAUUCAGGAUGCUAACGGAAAGGCAACAAUAAAGAUCAGACUUCUAAGUUUGGUAACAGACUAAAACGUUCCAGCAUUGUCCUGCUCUUCUUAAGGAUAGUUUAGCCAGCGGUCUUAGAAAUCCCCUGCCUGCGUAGAUCCUUUGAAAGAUUCUUCAUAACAGAUGUCAUACUUGUUUUAUAAGGAGAGCCUCCUUCCAACUAUAAGCAUGGCAUUCCUUUCAUUGAUGGCAGAAAUAGAGUUGCAGCAUGUGAAGCAUUACGUGGGAGAUGGUGGGACAAUGCAAUGAGUAAUUGAGUGAGGUAUUUUUUCGUGUGAAUCUUUUAAAUGUUGGUUCAGUUUGUUUCGUUCUACUUGAGUGCCCUAACUUAGUCCCUAUUUGAGUAUUCAUUUUCAUGAUAACACUUCCGAGUUGAGUUAAAAAGUUCCUUUGUCCGCUUCAAGUUCCGAUCCAUAGACAUGGCCAAAUUGUUUGAAUCACUGCAGCAUGGCCAAGUUGUUUUUGUAAUAGAUUGGAGCUGACACUCCAACAAAAAUCAUCACUGCUUCCCAUGACAGGAAUGUUUUGGAUAAACAGAGUUUGGAAUGUUUCUUGAAGUUAUGUGUGGAGGCUGAAAGGAGGUGAAUUCAGUACCAACUCUCAUAUUAGCUAAAUCUUUGUGUCCUAUAGAUUAGAAAAGAGAAACAGUUUGCUGUUUGUCCAAUAAUUGACUCAAUACGUCUUCCUUGUCCGCUUCAGCUGUCGAUCCACAAGGAGAAGCUGGUUUACUUUCUCCGCAUAAUCGGAGAUGGUGCAUUAUGACUCAACAACAACAAUGAAAACUCUUUCUUUUUAUCUAUGUAGAGCUAUUUGAUGCCAGCCUACAAGAAGUUAUCCUAUAACUGUGGACAACACUAACAACACUUAUGCACUUGUUGCUCUCAGUCCAAAUGAAGUUUAUAUCUAUAAAUCAUCUCAAAACCAGAGGGAGAGGUUACAUGUCCUAUAGCUUUCCAAGUCUCUGUUUUCAGUGGUGGCUUACUUGCUGCUGGGUUGUAUUUGAGAGAUUUCCUUCAACUUUGGCGAAUCUAUAGAGAAUGUAAAUACUGAUAAAGGAUGCUUACACAAAGGCACAGCAAAUAUCAAACUUCUAAAUUUGGGGACCUCUUUGAGAUUGAAAGAAGAAAUAUGUUGAAGGUUUGGUGUAAUCCCCAACUGUCGUUGAAGAAUCAGUUUCUGAACAGGUAAAAGGCGCAUUGGGUCAAGCCGCUACAACGUUGCAGCAGCUUCCUGAUCUUAUCCGGUGGUCUUAGAAGUCCCCUUAGUGGAUCCUCAGGAAGAUUCUUCAUGAUAUCUUAUCUAGACGAUGAUAUACUUGCUUCAUCUAAUGUGGCCAAUGUUGAUGUGUGGAAGUGGAAGUUAGGCAUUCUGUUGGCCAAUGAUAGCAAACAAGUAAUUGUUUUCAGUAACAAAAGGGAUCGAAAGGAUUAUGAGCAGAUUUCAAAUCUUGCCAAGAGAAUGGGACUGUACCAGAUAUAGAAACUUGACCUUUAUUUCGUCGAUAACCUAUUUUGUAUCUUGCACUAUGUGCUAACCUGAUUCUUGUUUCAUUGGAUUUUUGGUUAUAACAUAACAGUGAGAUUAACGGAAAAGAGGUUUUCGCAAGCAAGGUUCCUCUUCCCCAUUACCGGCCAGAUUUGGAUGAUAAGCGACCAUAAUGGGAGGUGGUACUUCCUUUGAGUUUACUAAUAAGGGUAGAAGGAUUCUGCAGGAACACCUUGAUAGACAGCAGCUAAGCUCAGGAAAGGCUAAUGAAGGUGUAGCUGAUUCUAAACCUCCUAAACAAAAUUGAAGAACUUCCGGAUGAAAGCUCUGAUACGUUUCUUGAUGGUUCUGUUUAUGGAGAAGGUACUUCAGAGGAGAAGUAUGUGGAUGCGCAUUGACAGUUAAACAAUAGGAAUUCCCCCAGGGAAGGACAAAGAAAGACUUCUUCAAGCAGGUGCUUUGAACAAUACACCUUGUUUGCUACCCUCCUGAAUAUCUCAAGCGUCUGCUCGACAGAGAAGGGGAAGAGAUGGGAGUCUGCUUCUGGGAGAAUGCUAUCACUUGUACCCCAUAUGCGUGUAUGAUGAUGCUUUUGCAGAGUUUCAACUACCUGAACUUCUGAAGACUCCUUUAAACUCCCUCUGCCUGCAAAUUAAAAAUCUUCAGGUGGAUAGCUUUGCAGAGUACUUGUCAGCUGCUGGAGUCUUUGGCUGUUCAAAAUACUACGACUUUGAAAGAGUCCAAAACAUGUGAAUUCAAGAAGAAAAGGAACCAAAGUGCCUAAAGAGUAAAGAUAGUGUAAUAUC